CACUCGUGUAUGAGGAAAGUCCGAGCUCCAUAGGGCAGGGUGCCGGGUAACACCCGGUGGAGGCGACUCCAAGGAAAGUGCAACAGAGAUAUACCGCCUGUUAUUAUAAUAGGUAAGGAUGGAAAGGCGAGGUAAGAGCUCACCGGCGACAUGGCGACUUGUCGGCCCUGUAAACCCCACUCGGUGCAAGAUUGGAAUGAGAGCAUUUAAUGGCUGCCCGUCACGCUCUCGGGAAUCGCUUGAACCUAUUGGUAACAAUAGGUCUAGAUAGAUGGUCACAAAAACCUUUGGUUUUACAGAACUCGGCUUACGGAUUG
rnacentral:RNase_P_RNA from 1 species